CACGAUGAUAGGGGUUCUGAGAGGAAGGUCCCCCACAUUGGAACUGAGACACGGUCCAAACUCCUACGGAAGGCAGCAG
rnacentral:rRNA from 1 species